GCGCGCAGGCGGUCUUUUAAGUCUGAUGUGAAAGCCCACGGCUCAACCGUGGAGGGUCAUUGGAAACUGGGAGACUUGAGUACAGAAGAGGAGAGUGGAAUCCACGUGUAGCGGUGAAAUGCGUAGAUAUGUGGAGGAACACCAGUGGCGAAGGCGACUCUCUGGUCUGUAACUGACGCUGAGGCGCGAAAGCGUGGGGAGCAAACAGGAUUAGAUACCCUGGUAGUCCACGCCGUAAACGAUGAGUGCUAGGUGUUAGGGGUUUCGAUGCCCUUAGUGCCGAAGUUAACACAUUAAGCACUCCGCCUGGGGAGUACGACCGCAAGGUUGAAACUCAAAGGAAUUGACGGGGGCCCGCACAAGCAGUGGAGCAUGUGGUUUAAUUCGAAGCAACGCGAAGAACCUUACCAGGUCUUGACAUCCUUUGACCACCCUAGAGAUAGGGCUUUCCCCUUCGGGGGACAAAGUGACAGGUGGUGCAUGGUUGUCGUCAGCUCGUGUCGUGAGAUGUUGGGUUAAGUCCCGCAACGAGCGCAACCCUUGAUCUUAGUUGCCAGCAUUUAGUUGGGCACUCUAAGGUGACUGCCGGUGACAAACCGGAGGAAGGUGGGGACGACGUCAAAUCAUCAUGCCCCUUAUGACCUGGGCUACACACGUGCUACAAUGGAUGGUACAAAGAGCAGCAAAACCGCGAGGUCGAGCCAAUCUCAUAAAGCCAUUCUCAGUUCGGAUUGUAGGCUGCAACUCGCUUACAUGAAGCCGGAAUUGCUAGUA
rnacentral:rRNA from 1 species